AUUCCAGCUCCAAUAGCGUAUAUUUAAGUUGCUGCAGUUAAAAAGCUCGUAGUUGGAUUUCGGGCGGUUGACGACGGUCCGCCUCUGGUGUGCACUGCCGUUCUUCCGCCUUUCUGUCGGGGACGUGCUCCUAGGCUUCAUUGUCUGGGACACGGGUUCGACGUGGUUACUUUGAGUAAAUUAGAGUGUUCAAAGCAGGCAUCGCCUUGAAUAUAUUAGCAUGGAAUAGCACGAUAGGACUCUGGCCUAUUUUGCUGGUCUGUAGGACCGGAGUAAUGAUUAAGAGGGACAGUCGGGGGCAUUCGUAUUUCAUUGUCAGAGGUGAAAUUCUUGGAUUUAUGAAGGACGAACUUCUGCGAAAGCAUUUGCCAAGGAUGUUUUCAUCA
rnacentral:rRNA from 1 species